rnacentral:snoRNA from 1 species
ACCCUCCUGAUUCCUACCCCCUCAGAUGGAAAUACUGGUCUGAGUGGCUAAAAAAGGAGGGACGGUAAAACCAAAGUGGACUUGGAGUCUUUAGUGAAGAGAAGUUUAUUUCAAACAGGA